GACAUCAAAGUCGAUUCAAACGAUUCCUCUUGGCCUAAUUUCUGGUUUUUUUUUUUACCAUCACACCUAUUGGAAGACGUUGCUUCCAAACGUCUUUCUUAGCAUACAUGGACGAUUUUCAUGAACUCGAGGAACCGAUGCACUUCACUCUUCUCUUAUGCGCCCAUCUAUGUUUAUUAUGAUUUGCAAAAUCUCUGCGACCUCAAGAGAAAUUAUGAUGGCGGUUUAGAAACUCCCACGCCUUCGGGUAUUCCCCAAACCACCACCACUCUUCUCUGAUUCCUAUUAACUUUGAUCGACUUUAUGUUUAUCUUCAUCCUCUCUCUACAAAUUCAUUUUAUCUCUUUUAUUUUUUUGUUUCAAUUGACGAGGGUAGAUGUUAGAUAGAUUAUGCGGAGGUUUUAGGUUUAUAAAAAAGAGGUAAUUUCUUUCCCAUUUUCUCUUCUACUAUGUUGGUGCGUUUAUGAUUUUAAAAUUUCAGUAAAUUACUCUUUUUAGCCCUAUUAUUUCUUUCUUUCGGUCAUUAUCUGUUUGAUAUCAAUUAGGGUUUGUCAAGCUUAUUACCUUUGACUACAAGCAUGAGAAAUGACCUUAAAAAUGAAUUGCAUAUGAAAAGAAGGCAGGAAAAUAAAGUAUCAUAAAAAAUAAAAUAUAAAAACCAAAUACUUGGAUUUUCUUAGAGAGGAAAAAUGGUUGAUGUACUUGAUGUUGGUACAUAAUAUCAUGUGCUAUUACCCACUGAUUAUCUCGAAUUUGCCUUCUCAAUUGAGGAGUUACUUUUUGUUGAAUGGUCCUUAACACCAUUUUGUUUGCUACAAGUUUUUAACUAGAUUCACAAGUUGUUUUGAACUGUAACAAUAAGCUAAGUGUAUGGUUCCUGAAGAGCAUAGAAAACUCGCUAGCCAUAUAAUGUUGGAUCUUGAAAGCAAUCGUUUAACUGUGCAAAUUACACGUUAUUUGCAUGAAAAGAUAUGUCUCAUGUUUUAUUAUGUUAGUUUCUUUUAAUUUUCUAGGAUCUUGGGGCAAAACAAUUUUGAAGAACCCUUAAUAGCAAAUUAUAAUUUUACCUUCAUAUAAAUCAUAAUACCAACGUUUUCUUCCUUUUCCUCCUUGGCCAUUAGACUCUCAAUUUGAUUCUUCCAGAUUUCUCAAAAUACCACAUGAAAAUAGUGUUUGAAAACCACAGCUUUGAUUAUGUAAUUGUGUUGAAAGAGACUAUCUUUUUUUUUUCUUAUUCAUACAAUUCUACUUAGAAAAAUCUGGUGACCAGUUUCAUUUUUUGUUUUGUUGAUUCCACCAAUGUCCUACUUCUUAUAACUGAUUUAUUGUUUUAGUAGCAUACAAGUUGUCCAAGUGAAGAAACGUUGAAAACUUGCAGUCAUUGCAACAUAAACAUAAAUUUUCGAAAAGUGUAUCAGCCGCCGAGCAGGGAUCUCAGUUUCCGUAAGUGUAGCAGUUAUUGAGUAAUUUCGAUGGGUUGAACACGAUGACUAUCAAAGUUGUCAGUGGUUGCUGGAUUGAUGCGUAUUACCAUGUGUUCUUAUUGAAAAUCCUUGAGUCUACAGAUCUUGAACUUGUUUUGAAAGUAAUGCCGACCAACAAGCCCAAAUGUGAUAUGUAGGGCAAUGGGUUCACUGAUAAUUCCCACCCUUCUCUUUUUCCUUAAUUACAGUGUCAAUAUGAGGGUUUUUUUUUUCCUAGUUGAUUAGGGCUAAAAUACUUUUACUAUUGCCCUGGUAACUUUUUUAUGUCUUCAAUUUAUUUUGUAAUCUAGGUAUAGGUUAAACCUAAUGUUUGAUGUUUUUAACACUUGAGCUACGAAUUCAUUUUUGUUAUUCAAUAUUUAUUAAGAUUGUUUUCGGAAGUUGAUAUAUUUUUUUAUUAAACGACAGGUAAAGAAACUAUUCACAUGAAAAGUAUAUUUAUAAAUGAAAGAUGAUUAGUAAUCAACAACUUUUUGUCGCAUACAACUUUUGUUUUAAAUUUUUUUUACAAUAUAUAAAAGUUAAACAUGUUUUUACGAACCAACUCAUUUUAUAAAUAAUUGAACCACAUUUAUUUCCAUGUGAAAUUUGGCCUUAAACAAACUAAACCAAGUCCUAUUAUAAUCAAUAUUUUAAAAAUCGGUUUGAACCGGCCAGUUGGACCGGGAACCGGACGAGGGAACGGUUCAAUUAUCAUUAGUUUUUACGUCGAUUUUUGAACCAAAUUGAACCAGCAGGUUUUUAAAAAAACCCGAUUGAACCGAUUAAACAAAAUAAA